rnacentral:rRNA from 1 species
UACGGAGGAUGCGAGCGUUAUCCGGAUUUAUUGGGUUUAAAGGGUGCGUAGGCGGAUCGUUAAGUCAGUGGUCAAAUUGAGGGGCUCAACCCCUUCCCGCCAUUGAAACUGGCGAUCUUGAGUGGAAGAGAAGUAUGCGGAAUGCGUGGUGUAGCGGUGAAAUGCAUAGAUAUCACGCAGAACCCCGAUUGCGAAGGCAGCAUGCCGGCUUCCUACUGACGCUGAAGCACGAAAGCGUGGGGACCGAACAGG